CAGUAGUCACGAGUUUGAUCCUGGCUCAGAACGAACGCUGGCGGCAUGCCUAACACAUGCAAGUCGAACGAGACCUUCGGGUCUAGUGGCGCACGGGUGCGUAACGCGUGGGAACCUGCCUUUAGGUUCGGAAUAACUCAGAGAAAUUUGAGCUAAUACCGGAUAAUGUCUUCGGACCAAAGAUUUAUCGCCUUUAGAUGGGCCCGCGUUGGAUUAGCUAGUUGGUGGGGUAAAGGCCUACCAAGGCGACGAUCCGUAGCUGGUCUGAGAGGAUGAUCAGCCACACUGGGACUGAGACACGGCCCAGACUCCUACGGGAGGCAGCAGUGGGGAAUAUUGGACAAUGGGCGAAAGCCUGAUCCAGCAAUGCCGCGUGAGUGAUGAAGGCCUUAGGGUUGUAAAGCUCUUUUACCCGAGAUGAUAAUGACAGUAUCGGGAGAAUAAGCUCCGGCUAACUCCGUG
rnacentral:rRNA from 1 species